rnacentral:antisense_RNA from 1 species
CCUGGCAUGACUGCUUCUAACAGCAACAUUUCAUUAAGUUUUUAAGUGCCUGGCAAUUGCUUGGUUACAACCGGCGUCUGCUCCAUGGCAGCCUCUUCCUGAAGAAAUGCUGAUGCAGUGUCAUGCUGGUGUGUGUCCUCCUUACAGAAUGCCUGAACAGUUCCAUUGACUCAAAGUGAAGAUCAAAAGAACCAAAUGACAGCAAUAGCUAAGUGUAAUCAUCAGUAACCCUGUGUUCUAUCCACGGGCUGGAGUGCAGUGCCAUAAUCAUAGCUAUUGCAGCCUCGAACUCCUGGGAAGAAGAAAUUUUCCCACCUCAGCCUGCCGAGUAGCUGGGACUACAGGUGUGUGCCACCAGGCCCAGCUGUUUUUUAACAUUUUUUUUUUUUUUUGUGGAGGUGUGAAUUAGCUAUGCUUCCCAGGCUUGUCUUGAACUCCUGACUUCAAGUAAUCCUCCCACCUUGGCUUGUCAACUCCUGGGAUUCCAGGUGUGAACUACUGCUCCUGGCUGAGAGUUGACUUUUGUUUGCUAAUGGUGUUCUUGGUAUCUUUUCAUAUUUGAGGCUUUGGUUUUAGUGCUAAAGUAUUACACUCACCAUCCAAGGUUUACAGGAC